UCGGGAAUAUUGGACAAUGGGCGAAAGCCUGAUCCAGCCAUGCCGCGUGUGUGAAGAAGGUCUUCGGAUUGUAAAGCACUUUAAGUUGGGAGGAAGGGUUGUAGAUUAAUACUCUGCAAUUUUGACGUUACCGACAGAAUAAGCACCGGCUAACUCUGUGCCAGCAGCCGCGGUAAUACAGAGGGUGCAAGCGUUAAUCGGAAUUACUGGGCGUAAAGCGCGCGUAGGUGGUUAGUUAAGUUGGAUGUGAAAUCCCCGGGCUCAACCUGGGAACUGCAUUCAAAACUGACUGACUAGAGUAUGGUAGAGGGUGGUGGAAUUUCCUGUGUAGCGGUGAAAUGCGUAGAUAUAGGAAGGAACACCAGUGGCGAAGGCGACCACCUGGACUGAUACUGACACUGAGGUGCGAAAGCGUGGGGAGCAAACAGGAUUAGAUACCCAGGUAGUCCCUGAGCGGGCUGGCAAGGCGCAU
rnacentral:rRNA from 1 species